CUGUUUGUUCUUCAUCUUUUUAUUAUUACUUAAUCAUCUGAGAAACAUAUAAUUGAUGAAAACCGACUUACUCUUAUUGAGAAGGUUGAAAAGAAGAGGUGUGAAAUACUCAGUAAGUGGGAUGAGAUACAAGCUCUGGAAAAAGAAAUUAAAACAACUUUGGUUCAUACUGGAAUUUCAGAUAUCACUGAGAAUAGGAUUAAAAGCAUAGAGCAUGAAGCUAUACAAUUGGAAACAGAAAAUAUGAUUUUAAAGAAGAAAAUAAAAGUUACUGAAAACCAUGUGAAGCAGAUCAUAGGAAAGAUCAGUGAAGAGAGGCAGGAGGGCCUUUGGAAAUUUAUCAAGGAAUUUGUAAAAUCAGAGGAAAGAGAAGAUAACGCUCAAGCAGCUGAACAAAUGGCCAGUGAAAAUUCUUAACUUCCAUGUAUGUAGCAUGGAUAUUUGCAGAUGCAUAUACAUUCAUAAAGAUACAUUUCAUUUCAUCAGCUUUAAUCUCUAGUAAAAUUAAUGUGGUAUAUGUAUCCUACUCAGGAUACUGAAAUACACACAUGCGUACACAUGAUUAGUUUCUACUGUUGCAUACAUAUUUACAACAAUAUUAGUUCUUAACGUAUGUUUUACUUUCAUUUAAUAAUGUUCAACUGUGGAAAAUACUUUUGAUUAUUUGCUAAGAAUAAGGAAUUCAGCGCUGCUUGAAUACAGCUCAAAUUUGUUUAUUUGCCAACACAAGUUUACAUAUAGGCAUUUAAUAAAAUUUGAUAGUGAUUUAAUAA
rnacentral:sRNA from 1 species